UCAAAUCCUACUUGGGGAGAUUUGUUAGUUAUCGCUUUUCUGACCUAACGGCCCCUGUCCUUCUCCUUUGUUUCUAAACUAGCUGAAUCGUGUCAAAAGUGGAAAGUUGAUUGUUGGUUUUGAUUCCUCACUCUCGUAUAGGUGAACUUGGUUCGUUAAAUUCUUAGGAAGAAAAGAAGGAUCAACUGGGAAUGAAUGGGAAGACUGGAGUAGUAUCUCUUCAUUAGUCGGAAGGAAUUUGUCUCCACUAGCCUCAUUCGAAAAAGAACAGAAUCCGAACAAACAAGAAAAGGGUUUAGGUAGGAUAGUGCGAUGUAGUCCAAUGGCUAAAGCUCUGCCAGCUUCUUGUAGACUGAACUCUCUUUAGGCUCCUAGUGGUUUUCGGGUGGGAUGGUUGAAAUUUUAUUCGCCACUAGUGGCAACGAAGUUCUUGGUAAUUUUAAAGGGGGAAGGCUUGCAGACCACUCAUUUCAUUCAUUCAGUGCCUGCGGUGAGGCGCGACCCACAACAAAAACAAAGGGGGAAAGCU